rnacentral:misc_RNA from 1 species
AAAGUCGUAACAAGGUUUCCGUAGGUGAACCUGCGGAAGGAUCAUUAACAAUGUGCAUCCACUUAAAUUUUUCUGACCGUGACGUCCUUCUCACGUUUGCACGGCUGCCCCGUCGGCCGAGCGACAUCAUUGUAACCAUGUUAUCACAUCCAAAACUCUCAUCAUUAUAAUUAAAUCUAAAUACAACUUUCGACAACGGAUCUCUUGGCUCUC